AAGUCGUAACAAGGUUUCCGUAGGUGAACCUGCGGAAGGAUCAUUAUCAAAAGUCAGUCGGGAGCCCUAGUGGCUGCCGUCUACACCCAAGUCUUUUGUGUACUCAUUGUUUCCUCGGCGGCGUAAGUCGCCGAAUGGACAAACUAAAACCUUUUUGUAAUUGCAAUCAGCGUCAUUAAAUAUAAUAAUAUUUACAACUUUCAACAACGGAUCUCUUGGUUCUG
rnacentral:misc_RNA from 1 species